UACGUAGGGUGCGAGCGUUGUCCGGAAUUAUUGGGCGUAAAGGGCUCGUAGGCGGUUUGUCGCGUCGGGAGUGAAAACCUCGGGCUUAACUCGGGGCUUGCUUUCGAUACGGGCAGACUGGAGGUAUGCAGGGGAGAACGGAAUUCCUGGUGUAGCGGUGAAAUGCGCAGAUAUCAGGAGGAACACCGGUGGCGAAGGCGGGUCUCUGGGCCGAUACUGACGCUGAGGAGCGAAAGCGUGGGGAGCAAACAGG
rnacentral:rRNA from 1 species